rnacentral:rRNA from 1 species
CUACGUGCCAGCAGCCGCGGUAAUACGUAGGUCCCGAGCGUUGUCCGGAUUUAUUGGGCGUAAAGCGAGCGCAGGCGGUUUGAUAAGUCUGAAGUUAAAGGCUGUGGCUCAACCAUAGUUCGCUUUGGAAACUGUCAAACUUGAGUGCAGAAGGGGAGAGUGGAAUUCCAUGUGUAGCGGUGAAAUGCGUAGAUAUAUGGAGGAACACCGGUGGCGAAAGCGGCUCUCUGGUCUGUAACUGACGCUGAGGCUCGAAAGCGUGGGGAGCGAACAGGAUUAGAUACCCUGGUAGUCCACGCUGUAAACGAUGUCGACUAGGCGUCGGGUUGUUAAAGACUCGGUGCCGGAGCUAACGCAUUAAGCACUCCGCCUGGGGAGUACGACCGCAAGGUUGAAACUCAAAGGAAUUGACGGGGGCCCGCACAAGCGGUGGAGCAUGUGGUUUAAUUCGAAGCAACGCGAAGAACCUUACCAGGUCUUGACAUCC